CAAGUCCCCGAGGAGCAGCUCCGAGGCCCGAGCGCGCGGCUGAGAGGCGCCGCCGCCGCCGCCGCCGCCGGGAUGCGCUCUGCCUAGCGAGACUGCCGAGAGACGCCUGAAGGCCACCGCGCCAAGGACACGCGGCCCGCCGCUCCUCGCGCGCCCGAGCCCGCACGCCGCCAGUGCCGGAGCCGCGGAGAGCGCGAGCGAAGGGCGGCAGGAGGGAGAGCGCGCGGGAGGCAGCCCCUCCUCAGCGAGCCAUGCGUGCCGCGAGCAGCUGAGGAGCCGCCAGGCGCCGCUGCCAAGUCUCCGCUCCGCUUUUGUCUUGCCCUCCAGUGAAUGGGAAGAUGGAGAUGGAUGUGGAGGGAGUUUCUCCGCGCCCGGAGCCCAUCCCCCGCUCCCAGGGGGCUGGCGGAGCCUGCCCGGCGCCGCCACCGCCGCCCCAGCCCCAGCCCCAGCCGCCGCCGCCGCCGCAGCAGCUGGCUCAGGAUGAACUGCCCGGCGAGAGUGCCGGCGCCGAGGACAGCGACGAUCCCGAGGCGAGAGCCAGCGGCGAGCGAGGAGAGGGCAAGACAUCACAGCCUGCGAGGCGAUGGGUACCGCAAUGAGCUCACCACAAAUCUCCAAGACUCCAAGCCACUCUCUGUUCCCAAGCAUAAAGCUAUGCUUCUGGAGGGGCAGCAAGAAACAACCUGGGACCAGGUGAGGACCCAUGCACGUCCCUGUCCUCCUCCACCCCAUCACUCUUUAGCUGUCUGUUUUUUUUCCCCUUGGUUGAUGGAACUUUCUAUGCGUGUCCUCCCACAGGCUCCACUUCUUGGCAAGAGGACAGAGCAUCUUCUCGGGUGUCCAGGGGGCUGCUGAGGGAUCCUGAGGAAGAUGUGCUGGUCUGUGGGACAGAAAGGCAGCAGAAGAGCCCGCAAGUGCUGGAGCAGAACUCAAGCCGUGUCACUCACUGCAGACUCAAGUGUGCUGUGCUACAGCUCUGGAUUGGACUCUUUUCCUUUGCCAUCACCCACGUAACACAUGGUUCUGGAUGCUUUGGACUGGUUGGCUUUGUUUUUCUUUCUUGUCUUUUCCUUUUCUUGGCCCUUGGAAAUAUAUAAAAAAAGAAUUGCUUGAAAAAACUGUAAUUCUUUGCCAAAAUUAGCUUCAUUUAUGAACAAAUUCUAAUCCUAGUGAUUUUCUGAAAAGGAAUCCCAGGCUGCCAAGUAAAUGAGGCUGUGGGGUUUGAUUUGUCCAGUACUGAUCCUUACAUCAAAAAUACAUUUUUAUUAUUUUUUUUUUAAUUUGGAUACAGGUAAUGGCCCGAGUUACAUUUGCUUAACUACUGAAGUGACCUCAAUGUGUUAUCACUUAGAGUUGAAACACAAUCAAACACACAUUAUCCUUGGAGCUCUUGCAUGCUAUUUGAUAUACAGGUAGCACUACAAAGAAACACAGCCCUUACUGGUUGAAAUUUAAUUUCUGUUUGAUCCUGCAGUAGAAUGGUAGAGAUUAUAAAUUUCAUACAUGACUUUAAAAUGCCUUCAGUGUAGGCUGGUCAAUAGUGAGUAGUUUUGAAAUGCCAUUUUCUAAGGCAAAGCAGGAAUUGGAGAUCAACUGACCUCGUCAGCAGUGUUGCUCAG
rnacentral:lncRNA from 1 species